CCCUAUGGGGCGCAUGGGGCCAAAGCGCAAGGUAUCCAAUCCCCGGCGGGCAAUCAAUUCUACCGGCAUACAACCAGACAAAAACAUCUUUUGAUCGAUGCUGUGUCCUUCGAAAAUAUCGGCAUCUGUCAGAUCCCGCCAAAACUUCUCAUACUCUUCCCGGCUGAGCGGACAAUUGUAAUAAUCGUCAUCACCCUUUCCAUAACGGGAUGCUUUAAAAAUCCGAUCUUGAUUAAGACUGCUUAAAGUCACACUGGGAGCUAUGGCAUCAUAAAAAAACAGAUUGUCAUCACCGCUCUGGGCAGCGAGUUCCUGAAAGAGCCGCUCUGAAGUAAGGGGCCCAGUGGCGAUAAUAUGUAUGCCUUCACAAUGAAUUGGCGGGAGGGC
rnacentral:rRNA from 1 species